rnacentral:rRNA from 1 species
AGCAGCCGCGGUAAUUCCAGCUCCAAUAGCGUAUAUUAAAGUUGUUGCAGUUAAAAAGCUCGUAGUUGAAUUUCGGGAUCAAUACGUCGGUCGUGCUUUCGGGUACGUACUGGCGUCAUUGGCUUCUCCUUUCUGACGAACCAUGAUGUCAUUAAUUUGGUGUUAUGGGGAGUUAGGACUGUUACUUUGAAAAAAUUAGAGUGUUUAAAGCAGGCUAACGCUUGAAUACAUUAGCAUGGAAUAAUGAAAUAGGACGUUUGAUCCUAUUUUGUUGGUUUCUAGGAUCCACGUAAUGAUUAAUAGGGAUAGUUGGGGGCAUUAGUAUUCAAUUGUCAGAGGUGAAAUUCUUGGAUUUAUUGAAGACUAACUACUGCGAAAGCAUUUGCCAAGGAUGUUUCCAUUAAUCAAGAACAAAAGUUAGGGAAUCGAAGACGAUCAGAUACCGUCGUAGUCUUAACCAUAAACUAUGCCGACUAGGGAUCGGAUGAUGUUAAUUUUUAAUGACUCAUUCGGCGCCUUA